UUCAAUAAAAGGUGCUCAGAAAGCUGCACAGUUGGCUGCUCGUUGCCUUAGUCGUGAUCCCAAAGUUAGGCCUAUGAUGAGUGAAGUGGUAGAAGCCUUGAAGCCAUUACCAAAUCUUAAAGACAUGGCCAGCUCAUCCUACUAUUUCCAGACAAUGCAAGCAGACCGAGUUGGAUCAAGUCCAAGUACCAAAAAUGGCGUUAGGACACAGGGAUCAUUCUCGAGGAAUGGACAACAACAUCCUAGAAGUCUUUCAAUCCCAAAUGGUUCUCAUGCUUCUCCAUACCAUCAACAGUUUCCUCAGAACUCACCAAAACCAAACGGCAAAACUUAGUAUUAUUGGAUUGACAAGUAAUCUGUUUCUAUCAUUCUUUUCGUUUUCUCUCCAGCUAUGAAUAUAUUUUGUUGGCCACCUCCCGUUUUGUCGUUGGAUGAACUGGCAAAAGGGAAGGAGUGCACAAUUAACUUAAGUUGUGAUCUUUGAAAAUGCUGAACUCCCACUUGAAAAGAAUGUAUUGUAAGCGGAGCUCAAGUCCAUGG
rnacentral:misc_RNA from 1 species